GACGAACGCUGGCGGCGUGCUUAACACAUGCAAGUCGAACGGCAAGGCCCUGCUUUUGUGGGGUGCUCGAGUGGCGAACGGGUGAGUAACACGUGAGUAACCUGCCCUUGACUUUGGGAUAACUUCAGGAAACUGGGGCUACUACCGGAUAGGAGCUCCUGCUGCAUGGUGGGGGUUGGAACGUUUAGGCGGUGGGGGAUGGACUGGCGGCUUAUCAGCUUGUUGGUUGGGUAGUGGCUUACCAACGCUUUGACGGGUCGCCGGCCUGGGAGGGUGACCGGGCACAUGGCUACUGCGGGACGGCCCAGAGUGGUACAGGGGGCAACAGUGGGGAAUAUUGCACAAUGGGCGGAAGCCGGAUGCAGCAACGCCGGGGGUGGGAUGACGGCCUUCGGGUUGAAAACCGCUGUCGCCUGUGACGAAGCGUGAGUGACGGUAAUGGGUAAAGAAGCACCGGCUAACUACGUG
rnacentral:rRNA from 1 species